UUCCUCCUGUUCCUCAAGUGGCUCAACAGAUUAGCCAAGAACAAAACCAACUGCAAAAUGGACAAAGUUUGUCAAGUUUGCAUAUUUUCUUACCUGCUUCACAUGGCAGGUACAACCAGCAGGCUGUGAUAAGAAGCGUGUGAUUUUGGUUCCAACUCCAGUUCCCAUACAGCAACAGGAAAAUGAAAUUCUGCAGAGAGUAACAGCACUGAGGAAAGAAGGUUUAUGGUCUCUAAAACGUUUGCCCAAACUUCAAGAGACCCUGCAGCACAAAUCACACCAUGAUCAUCUUUUGGAAGAAAUGCAGUGGAUGGCAGCUGAUUUUGUUCAAGAAAGAAGAUGGAAGAUGAUAACUGAGAAGAGAGUAAUGUGAAUUUGAUAUUUUCAGCCAGAACAUGGGAGGAAGAAUAGGCAGCAAUUUCAUGGUUAGGACAUGAUCACUGUGGUAGAUUUAAAACUGCAAGUAGAGUUAGAAGAGAGGGGGAAGAAAGCAUCAAAUUCAUGGUACAUCUCAAAAAAAGGUAAUAACCUAGGACUUUUUUUU